UUGCUGCUUUUCUGGGCCC
rnacentral:miRNA from 1 species